rnacentral:misc_RNA from 1 species
UUUUAUCACAGCUUUAGCUAACUUCAUACGAAUGUGCUAUUCCGAAUCGUUGUCGACUGUUCUUUACCCUAGGAAACAAAUAGUCAACCGGAUAUCGUGAUGUAAAUAAUUGCUUAUAAAGAGACCGAAAGGUGCCAUACGAGACGCUUGUAAGGUCAAUAACAUCAACCAAGUGUAUCCAACACUCAGUAGCGCUUCAGCUGUGGGAGAGGGAGGGUGGUGUUGUGUGCUGCUUGAGGUUAUUUCUUCUACUCGUCUUCUACUACAAGCUUCCUUUAUCAAAAUGACUGCGGAGUGUAGAAUAUAGAAAAAAAUAUAUGUAAGCACCACCAAAAGGAAAUUUCACAACACCUGUGCGAAUCCCGGGAAGAAAACUGACAUAUUGGCAAUAAGAUUAGCUUUUUGACCUAUUUUGUCAGCAUUGAAAUCACCCAUGACGAGACAUAGAAAACAUUGAUAUUAUCUCGUAAGUGGAAGUGGCUUGUACAAUUUGUACACUGUUCGAGCAUAGGCCUAUUUCACAUGCAUCAAAUAACUUAUGGUUCUGCUCACACAAUCCAGCUGACAGUGGUGAUGGCGUCAUGGGCGUGGGCGGCUGUGCAGGUGGGCGUGGUGGCGCUGCUGUUCGCUCCGCCCCCCGCUGCCCCCUCCCCCCUGGUGCCCCCUAGUGUCUACUCCCCGCGAUUCUCAGGACCUGGUCACCGGCGCCUCCAGAUCGAGCCGCGCCAAUGCGCUUCAUCUGAUGGAGAACCAGGGGUGUGCAUGUUCAACUUCGAGUGCUAUCAGCGUGGCGGUCACGUCGUUGGGACUUGUAUUGAUGGGUUCCUCUUCGGCGCCUGCUGUAGCCUGCCCGAGGGAGCCACUUUGCCUACGGAGGCACCUGUUGGCCAGCAAGGAAUUGAUGAAAACGGAGCAGGAAAUGGACAGAAGGAGGAAGAAGAGGAGAAGCCAGUGAUACCAGAGGUACCCGCGGAGGUGGAUCUCACGGGGACGGGGUUGGAUAGUGUGACGGAGGGAGCAGUGAUGGGUGGCGAGGCUGCUUCUCCCAAUACAGGGGCUGCAGGUGACGCUGUUACCCAGAGCACUUCUACAACAACAGAGAUUAUUGUUCCUGGCAUUGUUAAUGUUCGAGUACCAGAGUCAGACGAUACCGAAGACGAUCAGACUAGUAAUGCAAGUGAGAAUGAGGGACCCGCUCAGACAUCCACUGAAAUUCAGGAAGAAACUACGAGUGCAAAGAACGAAGACGUUCAAGAGCCAGACAGUACUGAAGAUCCAAACGUCGCUGGACCAACGACACCGUCCACCAACACCGAAGACGAAGGCACUCUGGUAGCGAUGGACGACUCGUCAAAUGGAGGCGAUUCUCCGGACGUCGAGGAAAGCACAGUGAAAUCCACAGAUGCCACAGAGGCGGAUGAAGUAAGUAAUCAGAUGGAGUCUUCGGUAGAUGACCAGGGUACUCCUCUGACGUCUGAGCCUCUGCCCGAUACUACUCCGCCAGCAACGGAACCGUCAUCGAAGUUCCACUCCGAUGUUGAGACGGGAAUACCAGACGUCCUCGCUGAGGGAGGUGUGAUUACCUUCACCAUCGUGGAGAGUGCGGCCCCGACCAGCGAAGGGCCGAGUGCGGACAUGGAGGAACACACCGAGCAAGUUAUUGUAAUGACCCUGCCUGACGGACAAGACGGGUUUGCUACGCACGAAAUCGUUAACUUUGAUGUCACUGAUUCUCUGAUUGAUGGUGAGGACAAUACAGAGAAUCCCGGCCUGAUGCCUUCUUCUUCAGACGAACUGUACUUCGAACCGAAGCCGACAUCUCAUAGGCCGUAUGUGCGCCCAACCCACGGACAGAAGACAUCGACGUCUGACCCACUACUCUUCUGGGAAGAUGAAGCAACACCACCUGCAGUUGAUGUGUCAGCGCAGACUAUCUAUGUCCUCUCACAGACAACGACAGACGAGGCGGAAGUAGGCACCCUUACAACAGACAAGCCUCCAGAACAGCCCACAGUUGCUCCUGAAAUAAUGGAAUCAACAGAAGGCAUUCCUCUUUUAACCCCACAGACAACAGAAUCGACCACAGAGCCCAUGCUAAUCUGGACUCUUUCUCCUCAGCCUUCCAUCCUAGAUGCAAAGCCUCCAACAUCAGUCAUUUCCCAAGUGGAAUCCAACACGCCAGCCGCGAAGCCCGAGCCAGCGUCAAAGCCAACAGCGGAUGAGAUGGAGACUCAAUCUGAUGUCCCCGGAUCUGUUGCAUCUGUUACUCCAAGCAAUCCACCGUCCAGUAACGAGAAGACGCCAGCCUCAGAAGAGGGAAUACCGGAUCUCGAAGACCCACUCGCUUUCUGGACUACCACACGGCCGACGAGACCGAGGCCGAGACCCACUCGAAAGCCCACCACGACCGACGAACCUCUGCUCAUCUGGACAACCACGCGGACGCCUCCGCAAGCCACGAGCACAGAAAGCUCGCCCUCCGAUUCCGUGACUUCGGAAGACGGGGAUCCCAUCCUCGACUCUGACAUUCCCCUCCAGCCGGCGAUUAUUCCCGGAGACAUCCUCCAGCACAUCACGGGAGACCUCCUCCACGGCGCCCAGAAUCAGACCACCGCCGACGUCACCACGACAACCCCGUGGGCGUCGUCCACCUAUUCCAUUGGCACGAUCAAGUACGAGGAUCCGUCGGUCAACACUCUCACGGACGCCCCCCAGCAGAGCACGACCCUCGCGAACGAAGUGACUCUGUCGUCUACCUCCCAAGUCGAAACCGCAACCACGACCAAACCCGAGACAACCACAAAAACGACAACGGAAAGAACGACAGAAGCAACCACAACCAAAACACGACGCCCAACAACAACAACCACAACCAAAAGACGACGCCCAACCACCACAACCACAACCACGAGACCGACGACCAAGAAACCCACAAGAAAACCUCCCAGCAGAAGACCAUCGACCAGGAAACCCCCCACCAGAAGACCCACUACUAGAAGACCGACCUCCAAGCCCCCCAAGACCACGACGGAUCCCACGACGGAGGAACCGAUCUCGCCCAUAGACCAGUUCAUCGUCGAUUUCAUCAACUCUUCCCCUCCUGAAGACCCCAUGACGACCACGGAGACCUCGCCGCCCAUCGACCUCGAUCUCUUGGCUCAGCUGUUCAACCUGACCAACUUCGUCCCCGGAGAAGAAAUUCUGUUUCCUCUGCCGCCCAAGAAGACAACGACGACAACAACCACCCCAAAACCCACGACUCGACCCAAGACAACCAAACGACCCACCACAACGACAACCGAACGACCAACGAAGCCAACAACCAACCGGAUUAUAUUACCGUCGUUCCCAACUACGCCGAGUACCACGACAACUACCACGACGACUACGACGACCACUACUACCACUACAACGACGACUACCACGACCACACAACCCACUACAACCACGCGGGUUUGGGAUUACAAAACCACGUGCGGCGUUCGUCCCCUCGCCCGCGAAGCGAGAAUCGUGAACGGCGAGCGAGCGGACUUCGCCGAGUGGCCGUGGCAAGCGCUCAUCAAGGAGUCUACGUGGCUCGGUAUCUUCACCAAAAAUAAGUGUGGCGGCGUUCUGCUCAACAGGAAAUACGUGCUGACGGCUGCUCAUUGUCAGCCUGGCUUCCUAGCCUCUCUCAUAGUCGUCCUGGGUGAGUUCGAUCUAUCGGACGACUACGAGCCCAAAAAGACCGUCCAGAGAAACGUGAAGCGGGUGGUCGUCCACAGGGGCUACGUGGCUAAGACCUUCGACAACGACCUGGCUUUACUGGAGAUGGAGAGACCCGUGACCUUCGACGAGCACAUCGUCCCCAUCUGCAUGCCGCAGGGGGAGGAGAAUUUCACGGGGAAGGUCGGCUUCGUUACAGGCUGGGGCAGGCUGUCGUACGGAGGACCAGUUCCAACGCAGCUUAACGAAGUAGCAGUGCCAAUUAUCAAGAAUAAUGAUUGCCAGAAAUGGUUCCUGGAGGCGGGUCACAUCAAGAACAUCAAACCCGAGUUCUUCUGCGCAGGAUAUAAGGAGGGAAAGAAGGACUCGUGUGAGGGUGACAGCGGCGGCCCUCUGUCUGUUCAGGGAGAGGACGGACGGUGGAUCCUCGCCGGCACAGUGUCUCACGGGAUCAAGUGUGCGUAUCCUAACCUGCCCGGCGUCUACAUGAAGAUGACCUACUACAGGCCAUGGAUCGAGAGCAUUAUCAAUUAGUGUGAACAUGAGAGAGCGCUCCAGUGAAAUUGUGUGUGAUUGCGUGUACAGCACCCGAAGACAGUGAGAGAGGAAAAACUUCUUCAAUACGCGCUUUGUUUAAUUUUGUAGAUAUGUUUACUUCCUUUUCCUGAUGAUGAGUCUCGUUUGUCUGCGUUUUCGUGCACGUGGUGUCCUGUGUGUGUUUGUGUGUAUUACCGGGGCUAGUUCCAGACUAGAGUGACUGAUGACCAUAAUGAAGGUGUGUUUUUUUUUAUAUAAAACUUCAUUAGAACAAUGGAAUUUUGGAACGAGCUGUUUUACAUGUGAUAUAAUCUAUCCUUGUUGUCUCAGCCAUACGACUUGCAGUGUUUAUUAUUCAAGACGUUUCGUGCUUCCAAAAAAGUGUCAUUUGUUACUAAGAAUCACAGCCCAUGAGAUAUGCAGAAAGAAAGCAGAGAAAUGAAGAAAAAAAACACAUGGUGUGAUAAGGCCAUAUUAUGAGCUGAAGAAUAUCAAGCGACAACAAAUCUACAAUGGAAACCAGCUGGUAUCAUAGUACCAGUUCAUCCACACCCACAGACGAAGCCCGAUGAAAGCGAAGAUUUCCAUGACUUUUUUCGACCGCUGAACCAAGACCUCAUGACGGACGACCCCAACCUCAUGUACUGACAGAAUUUGUGCCUUCGGGGGGACUUCAUGGCUACACGUUUGGUCGUCUUUGGCAUUAUCGGACGUCGGUUUUAUGUAUUAGAUUUCUAUUUAUUUAUUUAUUUAUUUAUUUGAUCCGUUAUUUAUUGGAGAGAUUUCAGCUGGACGUGUUCUCGUUUCCCUGUAGUUUUGUCAAAAGUUGUCUAAGAAAAGAUUGAUAUUUUUCUUGGUAUUGUUAAUGAAGAAGUUAAUGUUGAUGAAUAACAAAGAUAUGAUUUAUAUAUUUCAUCGUACAGUUGAUUAUUUUGACGAUAUGAAAUACACCAAAACACUUUCUGAUAUACUGUUAUGUGAUAAUGUAAUAAACACUUCAUCCGCUA